GACGAACGCUGGCGGCGUGCCUAAUACAUGCAAGUAGAACGCUGAAGGAGGAGCUUGCUUCUCCGGAUGAGUUGCGAACGGGUGAGUAACGCGUAGGUAACCUGCCUGGUAGCGGGGGAUAACUAUUGGAAACGAUAGCUAAUACCGCAUAAGAGUAGAUGUUGCAUGACAUUUGCUUAAAAGGUGCAAUUGCAUCACUACCAGAUGGACCUGCGUUGUAUUAGCUAGUUGGUGGGGUAACGGCUCACCAAGGCGACGAUACAUAGCCGACCUGAGAGGGUGAUCGGCCACACUGGGACUGAGACACGGCCCAGACUCCUACGGGAGGCAGCAGUAGGGAAUCUUCGGCAAUGGACGGAAGUCUGACCCGAGCAAACGCCCGCGUGAGUGAAAGAAAGGGUUUUUCGGAUUCGUAAAAGCUUCUGUUGUAAAG
rnacentral:rRNA from 1 species